rnacentral:rRNA from 2 species
UUGAUUUUGGUCGCCAACGAGUGGCGGACGGGUGAGUAACACGUAGGUAACCUGCCCAGAAGCGGGGGACAACAUUUGGAAACAGAUGCUAAUACCGCAUAACAGCGUUGUUCGCAUGAACAACGCUUAAAAGAUGGCUUCUCGCUAUCACUUCUGGAUGGACCUGCGGUGCAUUAGCUUGUUGGUGGGGUAACGGCCUACCAAGGCGAUGAUGCAUAGCCGAGUUGAGAGACUGAUCGGCCACAAUGGGACUGAGACACGGCCCAUACUCCUACGGGAGGCAGCAGUAGGGAAUCUUCCACAAUGGGCGCAAGCCUGAUGGAGCAACACCGCGUGAGUGAAGAAGGGUUUCGGCUCGUAAAGCUCUGUUGUUAAAGAAGAACACGUAUGAGAGUAACUGUUCAUACGUUGACGGUAUUUAACCAGAAAGUCACGGCUAACUACGUGCCAGCAGCCGCGGUAAUACGUAGGUGGCAAGCGUUAUCCGGAUUUAUUGGGCGUAAAGAGAGUGCAGGCGGUUUUCUAAGUCUGAUGUGAAAGCCUUCGGCUUAACCGGAGAAGUGCAUCGGAAACUGGAUAACUUGAGUGCAGAAGAGGGUAGUGGAACUCCAUGUGUAGCGGUGGAAUGCGUAGAUAUAUGGAAGAACACCAGUGGCGAAGGCGGCUACCUGGUCUGCAACUGACGCUGAGACUCGAAAGCAUGGGUAGCGAACAGGAUUAGAUACCCUGGUAGUCCAUGCCGUAAACGAUGAGUGCUAGGUGUUGGAGGGUUUCCGCCCUUCAGUGCCGGAGCUAACGCAUUAAGCACUCCGCCUGGGGAGUACGACCGCAAGGUUGAAACUCAAAGGAAUUGACGGGGGCCCGCACAAGCGGUGGAGCAUGUGGUUUAAUUCGAAGCUACGCGAAGAACCUUACCAGGUCUUGACAUCUUGCGCCAACCCUAGAGAUAGGGCGUUUCCUUCGGGAACGCAAUGACAGGUGGUGCAUGGUCGUCGUCAGCUCGUGUCGUGAGAUGUUGGGUUAAGUCCCGCAACGAGCGCAACCCUUGUUACUAGUUGCCAGCAUUAAGUUGGGCACUCUAGUGAGACUGCCGGUGACAAACCGGAGGAAGGUGGGGACGACGUCAGAUCAUCAUGCCCCUUAUGACCUGGGCUACACACGUGCUACAAUGGACGGUACAACGAGUCGCGAACUCGCGAGGGCAAGCAAAUCUCUUAAAACCGUUCUCAGUUCGGACUGCAGGCUGCAACUCGCCUGCACGAAGUCGGAAUCGCUAGUAAUCGCGGAUCAGCAUGCCGCGGUGAAUACGUUCCCGGGCCUUGUACACACCGCCCGUCACACCAUGAGAGUUUGUAAC